AUUGAACGCUGGCGGCAUGCCUUACACAUGCAGGUCGAACGGCAGCGGGGACCUCGGUCCGCCGGCGAGUGGCGAACGGGUGAGUAAUGUAUCGGAACGUACCAUUGAGUGGGGGAUAACGUAGCGAAAGUUACGCUAAUACCGCAUAUUCUCUCCGGAGGAAAGCAGGGGACCGCAAGGCCUUGCGCUCUUUGAGCGGCCGAUAUCAGAUUAGCUAGUUGGUGAGGUAAAGGCUCACCAAGGCGACGAUCUGUAGCGGGUCUGAGAGGAUGAUCCGCCACACUGGAACGGAGACACGGUCCAGACUCCUACGGGAGGCAGCAGUGGGGAAUUUUGGACAAUGGGGGCAACCCGGAUCCAGCCAUGCCGCGUGAGUGAAGAAGGCCUUCGGGUUGUAAAGCUCUUUCGGCCGGGAAAAAAUCGCAUGGGCUAAUACCCUGUGUGGAUGAUGGUACCGGAAUAAGAAGCACCGGCUACUACGUGCCAGCAGCCGCAGUAACAC
rnacentral:rRNA from 1 species